GGAAAUCAUCAAGUCUAUGAAUUUCGUAUUUUGCUUUCAUUUCUUCUUCUUCUUCAUACGAGAGCCAAAAACAAAAAAGAAGAUUAAUUGUGGAGAAAUCGAAGAUGUCUUUAGCGUAAGUGGAGAAGAUUUAAGCCAAUUUUUGAAGAAGUCUAGUAGAUUCUAUAUUGUAAGCUACUAAAAUCUGCGAUGACGAGGUAAGAUUCUACAAAACUAAGUAAUGUUUAUUAAGUUUUUGUUUGGUUUUCUACCCAAAAGUUGUGUAUUUGUUUUGUUUUCGAUUCAUUGUACUAAGUUAGCUCAUUUUCAUGAUUUGAGAGUCAAAAUUCUUUUUGUUCACCAACUGUUUGAUGAAAUGUCUGAGAGAGUGCAAGUUUUAAACAUAACUUUUUUAUGCUUGAAGCUAUACUGAAGUAGUGUUCCAUGUCUACCAUGGUGG